rnacentral:lncRNA from 1 species
CUUCAUAUUUAUAAAUUACUUUUAAUAAUAAAACAUACAAUCUGACGAUUGAUUUUAUUAGAUAUAAUCUACGCUAUUAAAACUAUUUAAAAAUCAACUUUUAUAAUUUUUUGACUUUGUUCGUCUAAUAAAUAAGUAGUCUCAAAAUAAAUGGCUGAAAAUAAAAAUUUUAUAAAAAAUAAUGAUAAAAGAUUCAAAUUUCGAAUCGGAAGUAUUGAUCUCACUCUUGAUAUUAAGCAGAACUUUUUAUUAAAGCUUCUUAUAAUUUAGAUUUUUUUAUACCGUUGAACUUACAAAUAUGUCACAUCAACUAUUAAAAUAAUUAUUUUUAAAAUCUUUUAAUCACUUAGUAAAUAAUAUCAAAAUAUUAUAAAAUUUAGUUUCUAAAUAGUUCUAAUAACGUAGAUUAUGUUUAACGAAACCGAUCGUCGAUUUAGAUAUCAUGUUAUCGAAAACAACUUACAAAUACGAAAACCUCUCUACUUUCGAAACCGUAUGAGAUCUUUCUCUAUUUUUCUCUAUGAAAU